UACAGAGGGUGCGAGCGUUAAUCGGAAUUACUGGGCGUAAAGCGCGCGUAGGCGGCUUUGCAAGUCGGGUGUGAAAUCCCCAGGCUUAACCUGGGAACUACAUUCGAGACUGCAUUGCUAGAGUAUGGGAGAGGGAAGUGGAAUUUCCGGUGUAGCGGUGAAAUGCGUAGAUAUCGGGAGGAACAUCUGUGGCGAAGGCGACACCCUAGACCAGCACUGACACUGAGGCACGAAAGCGUGGGGAGCAAACAGG
rnacentral:rRNA from 1 species